rnacentral:rRNA from 1 species
AACAGGAUUAGAUACCCUGGUAGUCCACGCUGUAAACGAUGUCGACUUGGAGGUUGUUCCCUUGAGGAGUGGCUUCCGGAGCUAACGCGUUAAGUCGACCGCCUGGGGAGUACGGCCGCAAGGUUAAAACUCAAAUGAAUUGACGGGGGCCCGCACAAGCGGUGGAGCAUGUGGUUUAAUUCGAUGCAACGCGAAGAACCUUACCUACUCUUGACAUCCACAGAACUUAGCAGAGAUGCUUUGGUGCCUUCGGGAACUGUGAGACAGGUGCUGCAUGGCUGUCGUCAGCUCGUGUUGUGAAAUGUUGGGUUAAGUCCCGCAACGAGCGCAACCCUUAUCCUUUGUUGCCAGCGGUCCGGCCGGGAACUCAAAGGAGACUGCCAGUGAUAAACUGGAGGAAGGUGGGGAUGACGUCAAGUCAUCAUGGCCCUUACGAGUAGGGCUACACACGUGCUACAAUGGCAUAUACAAAGAGAAGCGACCUCGCGAGAGCAAGCGGACCUCAUAAAGUAUGUCGUAGUCCGGAUUGGAGUCUGCAACUCGACUCCAUGAAGUCGGAAUCGCUAGUAAUCGUGGAUCAGAAUGCCACGGUGAAUACGUUCCCGGGCCUUGUACACACCGCCCGUCACACCAUGGGAGUGGGUUGCAAAAGAAGUAGGUAGCUUAACCUUCGGGAGGGCGCUUACCACUUUGUGAUUCAUGACUGGGGUGAAGUCGUAACAAGGUAACCGUAGGGGAACCUGCGGCUGGACCACCUCCUU